rnacentral:ncRNA from 2 species
UUUUCAUCAAGAGUUGGCUGAGGGACUGGCCCAAUGAAGCCGCGGCAACCAUCCAAACGGGAACGGUGCCAAUUCCUCCAGGACACAGGUCCUGAUAGAUGAGAG